rnacentral:rRNA from 1 species
GGUCCGAACCCACGAGCGUUGAAAAGCUCGGGGAUGACUUGUGGGUAGCGGUGAAAUUCCAAUCGAGCCCGGAGAUAGCUGGUUCUCCCCGAAAUAGCUUUAGGGCUAGCCUCAAGGUGAGAGAUACGGAGGUAGAGCACUGAAUGUCCUAGGGGGUAUUGCACCUACCGAAGACUAUCAAACUCCGAAUGCCGUCAUCUUAUACUUGGGAGUCAGACUGUGGGUGAUAAGAUUCAUAGUCGAAAGGGCAACAGCCCAGAUCGUCAGCUAAGGUCCCUAAAUGUAAGUUAAGUGGUAAAGGAUGUGGGAUUGCACAGACAACCAGGAUGUUGGCUUAGAAGCAGCCACUCAUUCAAAGAGUGCGUAAUAGCUCACUGGUCGAGUGAUCCUGCGCCGAAGAUUUCCGGGGCUAAAACUUACUACCGAAGCUACGGCAUCAGUAAUGAUGGGUAGGGGAGCUUCCCAUACGGGUUGAAGCAUGACCGUAAGGACAUGUGGACAGUAUGGGAGUGAGAAUGUUGGCAUGAGUAGCGAGAUGUGGGUGAGAAUCCCACAGGCCGUAAACCCAAGGUUUCCAGGGGAAGGUUCGUCCGCCCUGGGUUAGUCGGGACCUAAGCUGAGGCCGAAAGGCGUAGGUGAUGGACAACAGGUUGAUAUUCCUGUACUACCGAUAACCGUUUGAGAGAAGGGAUGACACAGUAGGAUAAGCUAAGCACACUGUUGGUUAUGUGUGCCCAAGCAUUGAGGCAGUCAAAGUAGGCAAAUCCGCUUUGAUAAUGCUGGGAUGUGAUGGGGAGCGAAAUUUAGUAGCGAAGUAGCUGAUUUCACACUGUCAAGAAAAGUCUCUAUCGAGGUUAAAGGUACCCGUACCGCAAACCGACACAGGUGGGUGAGGAGAGUAUCCUAAGGCCAGCGAGAGAACUGUUGUUAAGGAACUCGGCAAAAUGACCCCGUAACUUAGGGAUAAGGGGUGCCACCAGCAGGUGGCCGCAGAGAAUAGGCCCAAGCGACUGUUUACCAAAAACAUAGGUUUCUGCUAAGUCGCAAGACGAUGUAUAGGAGCUGACGCCUGCCCGGUGCUGGAAGGUUAAGGG